rnacentral:rRNA from 1 species
CCUACGUGAUGCAGCAGUGAGGAAUAUUGGUCAAUGGGCGAGAGCCUGAACCAGCCAAGUCGCGUGAAGGAUGACGGCCCUACGGGUUGUAAACUUCUUUGGUCAGGGAGCAAUUGAGUCCACGGGUGGGCUUAGCGAGAGUACCUGAAGAAAAAGCAUCGGCUAACUCCGUGCCAGCAGCCGCGGUAAUACGGAGGGUGCGAGCGUUAUCCGGAUUUAUGUGGUUUGAAGGGUGCGUAGGCGGAAUAUCAAGUCAGCGGGAAAAAUUCGGGGCUCAACCCCGUCGUGCCGUUGAAACUGAGGUUCUUGAGUGGGCGAGAAGUAUGCGGAAUGCGUGGUGUAGCGGUGAAAUGCAUAGAUAUCACGCAGAACUCCGAUUGCGAAGGCAGCAUACCGGCGCCCAACUGACGCUGAAGCACGAAAGCGUGGGUAUCGAACAGGAUUAGAUACCCUAGUAGUC